AACGAACGCUGGCGGCGCGCCUAAUACAUGCAAGUCGAGCGAGAAGACGUAGCAAUACGUUUGUAAAGCGGCGAACGGGUGAGGAAUGCAUGGGUAACCUACCCUCGAGUGGGGAAUAACUAGCCGAAAGGUUAGCUAAUACCGCGUACGCUCCUUGGACUUCGGUUCAGGGAGGAAAGCGAUACCGUGGGUAUCGCGCUCUUGGAUGGGCUCAUGUCCUAUCAGCUUGUUGGUGAGGUAACGGCUCACCAAGGCUUCGACGGGUAGCUGGUCUGAGAGGACGACCAGCCACACUGGGACUGAGACACGGCCCAGACUCCUACGGGAGGCAGCAGUGGGGAAUAUUGGACAAUGGGCGAAAGCCUGAUCCAGCGAUGCCGCGUGUGUGAAGAAGGCCUGCGGGUU
rnacentral:rRNA from 1 species